UAACGCGUGGAUAACCUGCCAUAUACCGGGGGAUAACACUUAGAAAUAGGUGCUAAUACCGCAUAAGCGCACGGCUCCGCAUGGGGCAGUGUGAAAAACUCCGGUGGUAUACGAUGGAUCCGCGUCUGAUUAGCUAGUUGGCGGGGUAACGGCCCACCAAGGCAGCGAUCAGUAGCCGGCCUGAGAGGGUGGACGGCCACAUUGGGACUGAGACACGGCCCAAACUCCUACGGGAGGCAGCAGUGGGGAAUAUUGCACAAUGGGGGAAACCCUGAUACAGCGACGCCGCGUGAGUGAAGAAGUAUCUCGGUACGUAAAGCUCUAUCAGCAGGGAAGAAAAUGACGGUACCUGACUAAGAAGCCCCGGCUAACUACGUGCCAGCAGCCGCGGUAAUACGUAGGGGGCAAGCGUUAUCCGGAUUUACUGGGUGUAAAGGGAGCGUAGACGGCAGCACAAGUCUGGAGUGAAAUCCCGGGGCUUAACCCCGGAACUGCUUUGGAAACUGUGCGGCUGGAGUGCAGGAGGGGUAAGCGGAAUUCCUAGUGUAGCGGUGAAAUGCGUAGAUAUUAGGAGGAACACCGGUGGCGAAGGCGGCUUACUGGACUGUAACUGACGUUGAGGCUCGAAAGCGUGGGGAGCAAACAGGAUUAGAUACCCUGGUAGUCCACGCCGUAAACGAUGAUUACUAGGUGU
rnacentral:rRNA from 1 species